rnacentral:rRNA from 1 species
ACAGAGGGUGCAAACGUUGUUCGGAUUUACUGGGCGUAAAGCGCGUGUAGGCGGCUUUGCAAGUCGGAUGUGAAAGCCCACGGCUCAACCGUGGAAGUGCAUCCGAAACUGCAUGGCUGGAGUCUCGGAGAGGAAGGUGGAAUGCUUGGUGUAGAGGUGAAAUUCGUAGAUAUCAAGCAGAACACCUGCGGCGAAGGCGGCUCACUGGCCCGGUACUGACGCUGAGGUGCGAAAGCGUGGGGAGCAAACAGG